UAUUUAUCCAUAGAACAAAUACAGCAUAGGUAGAAACAGUGCAAACUACCACACCAACAUGCCUCAAAUCUAAUCUAGUGGGGCACUUCUGGGAGCUAAAA
rnacentral:sRNA from 1 species